rnacentral:rRNA from 1 species
UACGGAGGGUGCAAACGUUGCUCGGAAUCAUUGGGCGUAAAGCGCGUGUAGGCGGCUCGGUAAGUCUGCUCUGAAAGUCCAAGGCUCAACCUUGGGAUGCGGGUGGAUACUGCCGGGCUCGAGUCCGGAAGAGGCGAGUGGAAUUCCUGGUGUAGCGGUGAAAUGCGCAGAUAUCAGGAGGAACACCAAUGGCGAAGGCAGCUCGCUGGGACGUGACUGACGCUGAGACGCGAAAGCGUGGGGAGCAAACAGG